AGGGGACAAGCAGAAAUUGGUAUGCGACUAGCUUGAAAUUAGGAUGAGGGGGUUCGAGUCCUCCGUCUCUUG
rnacentral:tRNA from 1 species